AGCUUUGCACAGCGGCAGUAUCAAAGCCAAUGAGGUUUAUCGGAGGCAAAAUUAUUGCUAAUAGAUACUUCAUAUAAAAGGAAUCAUGAAGUAUUCAUAUUUCUGUGACUAGCUUAUUUCACGUACCAUGGUAC
rnacentral:snRNA from 1 species